rnacentral:rRNA from 1 species
UACGGAGGGUGCAAGCGUUAUUCGGAUUUACUGGGCUUAAAGGGUGCGUAGGUGGACAGGAAAGUCAGUGGUGAAAUCUUCGAGCUUAACUCGGAAACUGCCAUUGAUACUAUUUGUCUUGAAUACUUUGGAGGUAAGCGGAAUAUGUCAUGUAGCGGUGAAAUGCUUAGAUAUGACGUAGAACACCGAUUGCGAAGGCAACUUACUGGACAGUUAUUGACGCUGAGGCACGGAAGCGUGGGGAUCAAACAGG